GGUAUACAUCUGGAAUCGAUUGUGGAACAUGUGGUUGGACCUUUUGUACCCAGGAGGAGGGGCCAAGAGGCAGGUACUGGGCAUGCGCGAAGCUCAUUCCGCGCUGGAGUCCAUCGGGUGAGGUUCCUGUUGCUGGAGCUCCCAGGCCUAGGCCUAGGCCUGUUGGUGGGAGGCUGGACCCGCCCCCGGUGGGUCCGAAGAUCCCCCCUGAGGCUGGACACCACUGCUGGAUGGCCGGAUCCCCGGCGAAGAAGGGGAGAAGGUGAGGGGGCGACGCGGUCGCAAGUCGAGGACUUUCGCGGGUCGGCGGCGCGGCAGCAGCGGAGGUCGUAGGUUGAGGAUUCCCUGCACCCAGCGGCUCGGCGGCAAUGGCGGCGGCGGCGGCUGAUCCUCCCUCGUGGUCGCUGGUCCCUGGUCGCGUGGACUGGCCUGAUGGGUGUCGUGGCGUUGGUAUACAUCUGGAAUCGAUUGUGGAACAUGUGGUUGGACCUUUUGUACCCAGGAGGAGGGGCCAAGAGAAGGAAGGAAGAAGAAGCAAAAAGGAGAAGGAAGGAGAAGGAAGAAGGAGGAGAAAGAGAAAGAAAGAAAAAAGAAAGAGAAGGAAGGAAGGAAGAAAAGAAAAAAAGAAAAAAGAGAAAGAGAAAGAAAGAGAAAGGAAGAAGGAAGGAAGGAAGGAAGGAAG